rnacentral:rRNA from 1 species
GACGAACGCUGGCGGCGUGCUUAACACAUGCAAGUCGAGCGGUAAGGCCCUUUCGGGGGUACACGAGCGGCGAACGGGUGAGUAACACGUGGGUGACCUGCCUUUAGCUCUGGGAUAAGCCUGGGAAACUGGGUCUAAUACCGGAUACGACUCCGCGGUGCAUGCUGUGGGGUGGAAAGCCUUGUGCGGCUGGAGAUGGGCCCGCGGCCUAUCAGCUUGUUGGUGGGGUGAUGGCCUACCAAGGCGACGACGGGUAGCCGGCCUGAGAGGGCGACCGGCCACACUGGGACUGAGACACGGCCCAGACUCCUACGGGAGGCAGCAGUGGGGAAUCUUGCGCAAUGGGCGAAGCCUGACGCAGCGACGCCGCGUGA